UUAAGCGACUAAGCGUACACGGUGGAUGCCCUGGCAGUCAGAGGCGAUGAAGGACGUGCUAAUCUGCGAAAAGCGUCGGUAAGGUGAUAUGAACCGUUAUAACCGGCGAUGUCCGAAUGGGGAAACCCAGUGCAAUUCGUUGCACUAUCGUUAACUGAAUACAUAGGUUAACGAGGCGAACCGGGGGAACUGAAACAUCUAAGUACCCCGAGGAAAAGAAAUCAACCGAGAUUCCCCCAGUAGCGGCGAGCGAACGGGGAGCAGCCCAGAGUCUGAAUCAGCUUGUGUGUUAGUGGAACGGUCUGGAAAGUCCGACGGUACAGGGUGAUAGUCCCGUACACCAAAAUGCACAGGUUGUGAACUCGAAGAGUAGGGCGGGACACGUGGUAUCCUGUCUGAAUAUGGGGGGACCAUCCUCCAAGGCUAAAUACUCCUGACUGACCGAUAGUGAACCAGUACCGUGAGGGAAAGGCGAAAAGAACCCCGGCGAGGGGAGUGAAAAAGAACCUGAAACCGUGUACGUACAAGCAGUGGGAGCACCUUCGGGUGUGACUGCGUACCUUUUGUAUAAUGGGUCAGCGACUUAUAUUCUGUAGCAAGGUUAACCGUAUAGGGGAGCCGCAGGGAAACCGAGUCUUAACUGGGCGUUAAGUUGCAGGGUAUAGACCCGAAACCCGGUGAUCUAGCCAUGGGCAGGUUGAAGGUUGGGUAACACUAACUGGAGGACCGAACCGACUAAUGUUGAAAAAUUAGCGGAUGACUUGUGGCUGGGGGUGAAAGGCCAAUCAAACCGGGAGAUAGCUGGUUCUCCCCGAAAGCUAUUUAGGUAGCGCCUCGUGAACUCAUCUUCGGGGGUAGAGCACUGUUUCGGCUAGGGGGUCAUCCCGACUUACCAACCCGAUGCAAACUACGAAUACCGAAGAAUGUUAUCACGGGAGACACACGGCGGGUGCUAACGUCCGUCGUGAAGAGGGAAACAACCCAGACCGCCAGCUAAGGUCCCAAAGUCAUGGUUAAGUGGGAAACGAUGUGGGAAGGCACAGACAGCCAGGAUGUUGGCUUAGAAGCAGCCAUCAUUUAAAGAAAGCGUAAUAGCUCACUGGUCGAGUCGGCCUGCGCGGAAGAUGUAACGGGGCUAAACCAUGCACCGAAGCUGCGGCAGCGACACUAUGUGUUGUUGGGUAGGGGAGCGUUCUGUAAGCCUGCGAAGGUGACCUGUGAGGGUUGCUGGAGGUAUCAGAAGUGCGAAUGCUGACAUAAGUAACGAUAAAGCGGGUGAAAAGCCCGCUCGCCGGAAGACCAAGGGUUCCUGUCCAACGUUAAUCGGGGCAGGGUGAGUCGACCCCUAAGGCAAGGCCGAAAGGCGUAGUCGAUGGGAAACAGGUUAAUAUUCCUGUACUUGGUGUUACUGCGAAGGGGGGACGGAGAAGGCUAUGUUAGCCGGGCGACGGUUGUCCCGGUUUAAGCAUGUAGGCUGGUUGUCCAGGCAAAUCCGGAUAAUCAAGGCUGAGGUGUGAUGACGAGGUACUACGGUGCUGAAGUAACAAAUGCCCUGCUUCCAGGAAAAGCCUCUAAGCAUCAGGUAACAUUAAAUCGUACCCCAAACCGACACAGGUGGUCAGGUAGAGAAUACCAAGGCGCUUGAGAGAACUCGGGUGAAGGAACUAGGCAAAAUGGUGCCGUAACUUCGGGAGAAGGCACGCUGGUGUGUAGGUGAAGUCCCUGCGGAUGGAGCUGAGACCAGUCGAAGAUACCAGCUGGCUGCAACUGUUUAUUAAAAACACAGCACUGUGCAAACACGAAAGUGGACGUAUACGGUGUGACGCCUGCCCGGUGCCGGAAGGUUAAUUGAUGGGGUUAUCCGUAAGGAGAAGCUCUUGAUCGAAGCCCCGGUAAACGGCGGCCGUAACUAUAACGGUCCUAAGGUAGCGAAAUUCCUUGUCGGGUAAGUUCCGACCUGCACGAAUGGCGUAAUGAUGGCCAGGCUGUCUCCACCCGAGACUCAGUGAAAUUGAACUCGCUGUGAAGAUGCAGUGUACCCGCGGCAAGACGGAAAGACCCCGUGAACCUUUACUAUAGCUUGACACUGAACAUUGAGCCUUGAUGUGUAGGAUAGGUGGGAGGCUUUGAAGCGUGGACGCCAGUCUGCGUGGAGCCAACCUUGAAAUACCACCCUUUAAUGUUUGAUGUUCUAACGUUGGCCCCUUACCGGGGUUGCGGACAGUGUCUGGUGGGUAGUUUGACUGGGGCGGUCUCCUCCCAAAGCGUAACGGAGGAGCACGAAGGUUAGCUAAUCCUGGUCGGACAUCAGGAGGUUAGUGCAAUGGCAUAAGCUAGCUUGACUGCGAGCGUGACGGCGCGAGCAGGUGCGAAAGCAGGUCAUAGUGAUCCGGUGGUUCUGAAUGGAAGGGCCAUCGCUCAACGGAUAAAAGGUACUCCGGGGAUAACAGGCUGAUACCGCCCAAGAGUUCAUAUCGACGGCG
rnacentral:rRNA from 1 species